UACGUAGGGGGCAAGCGUUGUCCGGAAUCAUUGGGCGUAAAGAGCGCGUAGGCGGCCCGAUAAGUCCGCUGUGAAAGUCAAGGGCUUAACCCUUGAAUGCCGGUGGAAACUGUCGGGCUAGAGUACAGUAGAGGGUUGUGGAAUUCCGGUGUAGCGGUGAAAUGCGUAGAGAUCGGAAGGAACAUCAGUGGCGAAGGCGGCAACCUGGACUGAAACUGACACUGAGGCACGAAGCGUGGGAGCAACAGGG
rnacentral:rRNA from 1 species